AGAGAGGUUUAGAUCUACGGAUACAAUACACCUCUUAACUGAAACGCUCUUUUUUUAAUUUUGCUUGGGUUUUCUACAACUUCCUUCCUCAAAAGAUCAGGUCUUUUUCUUCUUUUUCAUUGCUUACCCAGCGCCUCACAUUAUGAGCCAACCGGGCGGGUUGAGGGUGCCAAUUUCUGUGGCUUAGAGAGAGAAAAAAGUUUGUGCUUUAAUUUGUGGAUCUUUCGAUUUUUUGUUUAAGUUUCUCACUUUCCAUUGUUGUAGAUGUAGUUUUAUGAUGGCGGAAGCUAUUGGAUUUAAUUGCCGGAGUUAUCAAAUGACGGAGAACUCAAUUCGUUCUAGUAGGAUCCAUGAUUUAAACUGAAGGCAGUGAUAUUAUAGGAAGUUCGGACAUACCUCAGCAGGUGAAUUUCAACGAACAGUGACGAAUACAAAUGGCGUCAGGAGUAAAAUGAAAAAAAUGAAAUGGACAAGUGUUACUGUAAUCCGCCCAUGCUUGCUUGAUAACAGCUAAUCUCUGCAUCCAUUGAGAAAGAAUGAGUAGCAGUAAGGCAAGGAAGCAGUGGCGUCGUCAAAAGGCCUUGAUUGAGGCUAACCGACAUUUCAACCAGCUUCAUCUGAAGAGAAAGGCUGCUAUACUCCGGUUAUCAAACCAGA